AAAUCACACCACCACAUUCCUGAGGCCAGAAGGUGACUUGAAAUUGCAAACCCAAAUUCAACUUCAAAUAUACCAGGUUUCUCCACAUAGCCAAGAACCAACUCUAUUUUCUGAGACACCACAGGAUACUCUUACAUCCUACCUUCUCAUACCCCUUCCCAGACAACUGGCAGACAUAAGACCUCUUUGAAAUACAGGAAUACCUCAGUUCAUGAAUGCUUCUGCUUGCAAAUAAUUUGGUUCCCGAACAGAAGGGUUUAGCAAAAUUUUGCUUGUUUACAAGCUCCAUGUCAGAUGACAAACACAACUGCAGCCUUCUUCCCCAGAAUCACAGAAUGAAUUAAGUUUGUGAACCGAGGCACCACUGUAUAGAUCUGACUGCUCCCCUCUACUGCAGUUGCUCUUAAAGCAGGAGCUGGUGGAUUCGGAGAGGGCCUGUCCAUGUCUCCCAACUUGAAGGUGUAGCCCCCGCCCUUCUCCAAGAACCCAGGGGAUGGGCUCUGCAGAGAUGGAACUCUCUUUUGAAUGCUCCCAUGAUCUCACAUUCUGCCUAGCUAUUUCAGUGCACAAUAAGCCUGGCUACAAAGGUCCCAAACAGAGGGAGACAGAAUGGUUCUCUACAUUCUGUUCCAGAGAGGAAGAAAAGGAAUCAGUUCCUGCAUCUAUUUCUAGGAAAACAAAACGAACACAAGAGGCGAGAAAUUCAUGGAACAGUGCUGCUAAAUAAAGGAGCACAUAAUUACAGGAGGAAUUGGCAGGUAAGACAUCCCAGGUACAACUCGACUCUGCUACCUUCCCCACUUAACCAGGACAAAUGGAAAACUUAUUUCCUGAGAGUCCUCACAGGGGUCAGCAAACUUUCUGUAAAAUGCCAGGUAAUAAAUAUUUUAAACUUUUUAGUCAAAUGCAGGGGUUUUUUGUUUGUUAUUUGUAUUUUAAGUGUUCUAUUAUGGAAAAUUUCAAACAUAUGCCAAAGUAAACAAAAUAGAAUGAUGCAUUUCUACUUAGCUUCAAUAAUUAUCAGCCCAUGGCCAAUCUUCUAUGUAUAA
rnacentral:lncRNA from 1 species